GGGUGGUAAUGCCGGAUGCUCCAUCACACCGCAUGGUGUGUUGGGAAAGCCUUUGCGGCAUGGGAUGGGGUCGCGUCCUAUCAGCUUGAUGGCGGGGUAACGGCCCACCAUGGCUUCGACGGGUAGCCGGCCUGAGAGGGCGACCGGCCACAUUGGGACUGAGAUACGGCCCAGACUCCUACGGGAGGCAGCAGUGGGGAAUAUUGCACAAUGGGCGCAAGCCUGAUGCAGCGACGCCGCGUGAGGGAUGGAGGCCUUCGGGUUGUAAACCUCUUUUAUCAGGGAGCAAGGCUUCGGUUGAGUGUACCUGUUGAAUAAGCACCGGCUAACUACGUGCCAGCAGCCGCGGUAAUACGUAGGGUGCAAGCGUUAUCCGGAAUUAUUGGGCGUAAAGGGCUCGUAGGCGGUUCGUCGCGUCCGGUGUGAAAGUCCAUCGCUUAACGGUGGAUCCGCGCCGGGUACGGGCGGGCUUGAGUGCGGUAGGGGAGACUGGAAUUCCCGGUGUAACGGUGGAAUGUGUAGAUAUCGGAAAAAAAACACCA
rnacentral:rRNA from 1 species